AGCAGUAUAGGUUAAAGGAAUAUGUGUCAGAAAUUAUAAGGAGAGCGAACAUCAUGGUGGCGAUGGUGGCAGCAAGGCGGCGAUGGUGACAGACCGCAACGAUAGCGGGUGAAACGGCGGCGGCGGCAAGCGCGGACCGCGAUUCCCCUUCAUGCUGUUCACAGGGAUGGUCACGGACUCCGAAACAUGACCGCGAAACAUGAUCCCCCCUUUCAUCUACCUCGACGCACCGCAAGAUUCCUUAAUCCCCGUGACAGCAUUUCCCCGCGCGCCUCCAAAUACCCCCCCCCCCCGCAACCCAUUCCCCCCUCGGAGCUCCCGAGUCAAAACCGCUUUAUAAUAACUAAUUACUUAGUAACAUAACUAAAUAAAUAAAUAAAUAACCUGCAAAAGCCUCUUGUUGAACACUGUCUAACCUACAAGACUCCCUCAAAUAAUUUACCACUCAAAUUACACUCCUGAGGGGCAGCUUACUCCCCAGGACGUAACAGGGCCAAUUAAAAAAACAACUAUUCAUAAAAAAUUUAUUUAUUUAUUACUUUUUAUUAUUACUUUUAAUUAAAAUUAAUUAAUACUUUUUAAUGUUAAAAUGUUACAUUCAAUAACAUGGUUCUGUAUACAUUAUUAAAUAGUAUAUAUUAUUAUAAUGGUAAAGCGUUUUGAUUAACAUAUUAUUGUACCCGUUAGAUCGGUCCGCUAUCCUGAUCAAUCGAUAUAUUGAUUUUUAGAAAGAACGUUGUCAGCUGUCGUAAAGCUUGACAACGCAGAUAAACAAUGGAGUUGAAGCUCGGUCUCGCACUAAGACUGAUGUUUCUGUGAAUGUUCGCUUGUGUUUAUAAUUGAUAGUCUUUUAAAGUCUUAAAGUGUAGUGUGUGUUUCUUAUUUACAUCCACGACCACGCGUAACAUUUUAGAAGCUCGUCCGUGAUAGGACGAGCGAAUGAGCAAACAAACCAACGAAAAGGAAAAAAAAUGUAAUUCUGAGUAAUGACCACACAUUUCCCGAGAAAGACUCACAAUCAGUCUCAGACACCGGUGGAUGCGACGGCGGAGGCCGAUUCGCUACGUGCUGUAGGAAUUGCAGCAGCUGAAAAAGGAGAGGCGUCUGAAACGUCAGCAGCUGCAACGGUUCCAGAAAGAAAUGCAGUCCCGUUCUCCGGAAAAAGACGAGACCUUAAAACGAGGAGCAACUCAAACCAGCUAGUUGCUCCAAUAAUAUUUUCGCGGGCAAUAAUUCGACAAACGCGACGCAAAUAAAUUUUCCAUACGCAAGUGUAAACGCGGGCGGAGGUCAGGCGUCACUCGAUUUUAAAGUUAAGCCUGACGAUUUUAACGAGGUGGUGCCACUGCGUAAACAGUUGGGAUAAGAUCGCGAAAACAAUGUUAUUGAGGCUCUAAUGUUAUGCUUGCGCGGAAAAAAGAAAAGAAUGUUGAUUGUGUAGAGACACGGGACAUUUUCGCGCGGAAUGCCCGUCGCUUCGAGAGAAAAAUUGAAUUUUGUAGGGGAGAGCAGGGUCGUGAUUCCUGGAGCAUCGCGAUUAAAAAAAAUCCAUCUAGAAGAGAAAGAGAAAGAGAAAGAGAAAAAGAGAGAGAGAGAGAGCUGGAUGUUGAGACCUGAAACAACAGGCUUAGUAACUCGAGCAGCAGUCCAAGGUAGAGCAGGAGUCGUGGUUCCGGCUGGAAAUUUUUCUUCAAUAGUUAGUUGUCGGGACGACAACUUGCGAAGAAGGGUCAGUGUCAAUCAGUUAGUCCUGUGGCUAAUCAAUAUUUUGAUUUUUGAGAAAAGCGUUGUCAGCUGUCGUAAGUUUGACAACGCAGAUAAACAGAGUUGAAACUCGGUCUCGCGCAGAUGAACAUUUCUGUGAAACGCUUGUGUUAAUAGUUAAUGACGUCUUUUGAAUUGCUUAAAGUGUAGUGUAUGAGUGUUUCUUAUUAAGUCAGCGACCGUACGUAACAAUAUCAAUAUUAUACAGAAACCAAAAAAGCAUGAUAAAGAUAAAUGUUUUAUUUUAAAAAAAAUUUGGCGCUGCUAUAGGAAAAUAAUAAAAACGGUUUAUUGUAACAGAUACAUUUAUUGUAACAGAUAACAGAUACACAAGAGCAAUCAAUAUUUGCGCUUGGAGACAGACGUGUCAAAUAUCACUCCGCAGAAAUCAGUUUUUUUUAUGGAUACAUAUUGCCGUUAAAUGUUAAAGUUCUAACAAAAGUGACUAUAGACAGAGAGUAACUAUAAGUGUUAUUUAGUAAAGUUAUGCUAAACUAUGGACUGUAAGACAGAAUUUUUAUUCUGGAAUUUCAGUUCUUGGACGGCAGUCAGUCAAUAGUGCUGACGUGCACUGACGUGUGUUACUGUGUAAAUAUGUAUCAUAUCGGUAUAAUCGACAGGUUUGGCGCCGAUCAUGUAGAAUACAGGUUCUGCAUGCAAGAACAUUAAAAACAUUGCGGUACAGUGUACAAAGUGUAGAAAACUCUUUUACCAUCCUGAGUGUAUCAAGCAUAAAAUCUAUAAUAGUAGACAAGAGUUUGUGAAAUACGAAGGUCCUUUUAAAGAAAUAAGAAUCGAAAGUAAAAAGGAAAAAAUGUGAAAAAAACAACUGAAAGAAGUAAUAGAGAGAAGACAAAUUCCAUAGAAGCCACGAGGUCAACUGCAAGUACGUCAAGAAAUGCAGGUAGGCAAUGACUGAUACAAAGAUCGACUAGUUAGAGAAAAAAAGUGAGAAAAAUAAAUUAAAUGUAAUGCUAAAAAUCGGAAUACGGAAGGAGUUAUUUUAUAUAUGAAAAGUAAUACAUAAAGUACUUUUAAUUUAAAAAAUAAUACAUAACUGACGACGAUAAAAGUACGGGACAAUAUAGGUUGCGCACAGCCAUGGACGAUAAUAAACACUCUCAUUGACACUUUACUUUUGGUAGUUCAAAAAGACUAUUAAUUACAAUCUUUCAUGUAUUAAAAAGGGCAUCCGCCCUUGCGCACAAUCGGGCUACAACAUCGUUGUUUAUCAGCGUUGUCAAGCUUACGACAGCUGACAACGCUCUUCCCAAAAAUCAAUAUAUCGAUCAGUGAGCGCAGCUCCAAGGGGCGCAACACUAUGUAUAAAAAAGUAGUAACAGUAAUAUAUCACUCAUCAAGUGCAUCAAAUGGGUAUUUUUAAGAUUCUUAGAAGAAAUAGUGGAAUUAUUUGACGUCAGUAAACCUAGCACUCCCACCACUAAAAAAGUUAGAAAAUACCGUAUAAUUUUCUGCUAAUUAUCUGUUAAUUUUCUGCCCUAGUCCCGAAUUUUUGCUUUUACACGCUCGUAGAAAAUUAAGAUCAAAAGUGAGGAUGCUAAGUUCACGUAACGGUAGCACCCCCACUAUGUAAAGAAAAACAAAAAAAUUAAUAUAAUAAAAUUUUUUGCUCAUUUUCUGGUCUAAGAAACUGUAAAAAAAUAUCAAAAUAUUGAACGGUUAUCAAAAUACCGGUACUUUUAAAACCAUCGUACCGCAAUAAUAUAAAAAAAAAGGUUAAAAAUAGAAGCUAACAAUACCACGACAACUUAUAAAGUACUUCCUUAAUCAAAUACUCGUAAAAUACACAAGUUUAAAAUGUUUAACUUGCACAAUACCUUUAAAAAGCCUUAAGGGGCUACAUACACCUAGAGACGUAAAAAAUAGGUUUUCUUCUCGAUUUUUUUUUUGAAACGUAACGUAUGUAAUUAAUCCUAGUUUUCUUUACUUUAAAAUACAUUCUUAAAACAUGUUUCAGAAUAAAUUUAAAUUAAAAAUAUUUAAAAAUGGCGGAAAUAUUCCUCGUCGCCUUGUUGAAGACCUUGUUGAAAAAAGGUGCUUCGCGGUACCAAUUGCAACUCGUACAGGACUUAUCUAAAACAGACCAGCCUAAAAUUUUCUUAAACUGUAUGAAAUUAUCUAGUCUUUAUCGGGGCCGAUUUUUAAAAUAUCGAUUUUUUGCAAAAUGGCGGCAGUUUUAAAAAAAUCGAUUUUUUAGGAUAAAAAUCAGUCGUUUUUUAACUGUAAAAAAAGUAAGAGCUGUAAAAAAAACCGCCAUAAUAAAAACUGCCUUUUUGUGUAGAUUAAGCCCUCCAAAUUUCAAGUAAAUCGGUCCAGCCAUUUUCGAGAUAUUUUUAGUACGCGUUUCGAAAACAUGGUUUCGAAAAAAACGCGUUUAAAGUUUGACAUUCGGUUAAAACAUAAAUAAUUUUUUUCAAACUUAUAUGGAGUCAUCCACUCCAGAGCCAUACAAUAAACCCUCCCUAGAUGUAGCGGCAUCAAAGGCUUCGAUCCUAGCUUGCCGGCGUAAUAUUUUUGCAUAAGCUACCUGCUGCAAAGAAUUAGGGGCGCCCGUCGCGCCCGAGCGUCGUCGAACGCACUUGGACCUUUC